CACCAGCGCCACGAGUGGCUAUCACAAUUAUUGGGCCUAAAGCGUCCGUAGUCGGACAAGUGCAUCUUCUGUGAAAUCGCAGCGCCUAACGUUGCGGCAUGCGGGAGACACGACUUGUCUUGAGACCGGGAGGCGUGAAGGGUAUUCCGGGGGGACCGGUAAAAUGGUAUAAUCCCCGGAGGACCACCUGUGGCGAAGGCGCUUCACGAGAACGGAUCUGACGAUGAGGGACGAAAGCCAGGGGAGCAAACCGG
rnacentral:rRNA from 1 species